rnacentral:rRNA from 1 species
UCGAGCGAAUCGAUGGGAGCUUGCUCCCUGAGAUUAGCGGCGGACGGGUGAGUAACACGUGGGCAACCUGCCUAUAAGACUGGGAUAACUUCGGGAAACCGGAGCUAAUACCGGAUACGUUCUUUUCUCGCAUGAGAGAAGAUGGAAAGACGGUUUACGCUGUCACUUAUAGAUGGGCCCGCGGCGCAUUAGCUAGUUGGUGAGGUAAUGGCUCACCAAGGCGACGAUGCGUAGCCGACCUGAGAGGGUGAUCGGCCACACUGGGACUGAGACACGGCCCAGACUCCUACGGGAGGCAGCAGUAGGGAAUCUUCCGCAAUGGACGAAAGUCUGACGGAGCAACGCCGCGUGAACGAAGAAGGCCUUCGGGUCGUAAAGUUCUGUUGUUAGGGAAGAACAAGUACCAGAGUAACUGCUGGUACCUUGACGGUACCUAACCAGAAAGCCACGGCUAACUACGUGCCAGCAGCCGCGGUAAUACGUAGGUGGCAAGCGUUGUCCGGAAUUAUUGGGCGUAAAGCGCGCGCAGGUGGUUCCUUAAGUCUGAUGUGAAAGCCCACGGCUCAACCGUGGAGGGUCAUUGGAAACUGGGGAACUUGAGUGCAGAAGAGGAAAGUGGAAUUCCAAGUGUAGCGGUGAAAUGCGUAGAGAUUUGGAGGAACACCAGUGGCGAAGGCGACUUUCUGGUCUGUAACUGACACUGA